GGAUGUAAGGGCGAUCUGGCUGCGACAUGUCACCCCAUUGAUCGCCAGGGUUGAUUCAGCUGAUCUGGCUGGCUAGGCAGGUGUCCCCUUCCUCCCUCACUGCUCCAUGUGUGUCCUUCCCAAAGCUGCGCGCUCGGUUAAAGAGGAUGACCAUCCCAGAUAGAGGAGGACCAUUCUUCGGUCAAGAGUAUACGAGUAGCUGCUCUCCCCUGCUAGAACCUCCAAACAAGCUCUCAAAGAGUCUCACCAAUAGAAACAAAAGUAAAUACAUUUUUUUUGGCAGUAUUGGGGCUUUAACUCGGCCAUGCACUUGUUAGACAGGUAUUCUA
rnacentral:snRNA from 1 species